rnacentral:rRNA from 1 species
CUGGCUCAGGAUGAACGCUAGCGGCAGGCUUAACACAUGCAAGUCGAGGGCAGCGCGAGGUAGCAAUACUUUGGCGGCGACCGGCGCAAGGGUGCGUAACGCGUGAGCAACUUGCCCGUAACAGGAGGAUAACCGGAGGAAACUCCGACUAAUACUGCGUAGUAAUAAUUGGUGGCAUCACCGAGUGUUUAAAGGCGAAAGCCGGUUACGGAUAGGCUCGCGUGACAUUAGCUGGAUGGCGGGGUAACGGCCCACCAUGGCGACGAUGUCUAGGGGUUCUGAGAGGAAGGUCCCCCACACUGGUACUGAGACACGGACCAGACUCCUACGGGAGGCAGCAGUGAGGAAUAUUGGACAAUGGUCGGAAGACUGAUCCAGCCAUGCCGCGUGAAAGGGCUAAGGUCCUAUGGAUUGUAAACUUCUUUUGUACGAGAGGAAUAAGGCGGACGAGUCCGUCGACGACAGUAUCGUACGAAUAAGCAUCGGCUAACUCCGUGCCAGCCGCUGC